CAGCAGGGACAUGUGCUGUGUCGCAGGGCCACCGGGUGGUCGUGAUUGCGGUGUGAGUGCUGGUGCCGGGAUAACCCCCACCGGCAAGGGGGGGGACGGGAGCCCCUGUUGCGUCCACCUUUAGCAGUCGGAUAGCCAGCAGGAAGAUAGGCCACUUCUUCCACGCCAGCACCCCCAUGUAGGCCGCAGUUGUGUGCCGAGAACAGGCUGCUCAUUUUGUGUCCAGGAGUCUUUCAGGUGUUGCAGAAGUAAAGUCUGCUUUUGCCUGCUUUCAGGUAGUCGAGUUUGCUAAUGUAAAGGUUCUGAAUUAGGGCUCUGCUGGAGUGUUUUACACAGAGCACACUCUGCAUGCGGCCAUCUCGGUUGGCAGCCAGGCCCCGCCCCCCUCACUCUUUUAAUUUACGCUCUAAACUGCGCUGAACUACCAGUUAGUUGUUAAGCAUUACUAUAUAGUAUCGGUUGUUGUGCCUAAUGAGACUAGCAUGAUUAAUUUACAUUAAACAAAAACAGAGACGGAUCAUCCAGAAGUAUAUAUGCAAAUUGUGAUUUUACCAUCUUAAUGUAUGCAUUAACUUUUUUUAUGCAUUCUGUACUGUACUACAGAUGAAGGAUUCCAGUUACUAUUUAAAAUGUUUUAUUCCAACCAAUAGUUCUGUAAAUAAUGACAAGUAAAUAAAAAGUGUAUAUUAACAAGA